UAUAAGGCUACUGGGGGAUGCUAUAAUGCUACUGGGGAAUGCUAUAAGGUUGAUAUAAUUUUAAUGACCAGAGGAGCAAUUUUGUGUUUUGACUAAUCCCUGUUUUUACCCUUGUUGCAUCUUGUGCCAAUGUGUAUGUUGAAAUAUGUCUAUAAGCUCUUGUCUAUAAUGUUUCUGUAACGUUUUCAGAUGUCUUCGCCUUCUCCUUCGGUUUGCAGUCGAAGUACCCCCUCCUUUCACAUGCAGGGACACUCCGACACUGAAUCCUCUGCUGGCGAGGAAUUGCGUUUUUCUCCUGAACCAAUGGAGUCAACACAGGAGGGUACACAUUCAAUAGAAAAUCCGCGAAGUAGACGUCAUAACGACGAUGAUGACCCAAACAGUCAAAUUGAAAAUCCAUCACCUGUUCAAAAAAGAACUUCCAGGCGUGGUGGUCGCGGACAACGUG